rnacentral:rRNA from 1 species
UACGAGGGGUCCUAGCGUUGUUCGGAAUUAUUGGGCGUAAAGCGGGUGCAGGUGGCCAUUUAAGUCGGGAGUGAAAUCCCUGGGCUCAACCCAGGAAGGGCUUCUGAUACUGGAUGGCUUGAAUAUCGGAGAGGGCAGUAGAAUUCCAGGUGUAGUGGUGAAAUACGUAGAUAUCUGGAGGAAUACCGGCGGCGAAGGCGGCUGCCUGGCCGAAUAUUGACACUCAGACCCGAAAGCGUGGGGAGCAAACAGG